rnacentral:rRNA from 1 species
UAAGGAAUAUUGGACAAUGCCCGCAAGGGUGAUCCAGCCAUGCCGCGUGAGUGAAGAAGGCCUUCGGGUUGUAAAGCUCUUUCAGACGGAAAGAAAACUCCUGGGCUAAUACCCUGGGAGGAUGACGGUACCGUAAGAAGAAGCACCGGCUAACUACGUGCCAGCAGCCGCGGUAAUACGUAGGGUGCGAGCGUUAAUCGGAACUACUGGGCGUAAAGCGUGCGCAGGCGGUGAUGUAAGACAGAUGUGAAAUCCCCGGGCUCAACCUGGGAACUGCGUUUGUGACUGCAUCACUCGAGUACGGCAGAGGGAGGUGGAAUUCCGCGUGUAGCAGUGAAAUGCGUAGAGAUGCGGAGGAACACCGAUGGCGAAGGCAGCCUCCUGGGCCAGCACUGACGCUCAUGCACGAAAGCGUGGGGAGCAAACA